GGGCGGGCUGCCCCGGCGGGGCCGCGGGCGCGGCCGGCGGAGCGCUCGCCGCGGCGGGUGCGGCGGCCGGCUCGGCGACGGCCGUGCCCGCC
rnacentral:tRNA from 1 species